UGGGAGGAGCUGAUUGGAAUUUUCUUUGCACACAAACAGGAAAGGGAAGUUGCAGUUGGGCUGAAGAAGAAGCAGGAAGUGGUAAGCGUGCCCGCUUUGGCCUUCCACCACGUUAGACCACGGCCAGGGCGAGAACCUUUGUGUGCACAGCCCAAGGUCUGGGCCACAGCUGGCACAGGGUGCUCGCCAGAUGACCUCAGUGCCCAGUACAGCUGCUGAUGGAUAUGAAGAGCCAGAUGUCCUCGGCAGCAGGACAGAAAAAGAUGGGUGCUGGCCAUCUGAAGGGACGCAGUGUGGCCGUCUUCAGAGCUGGGCCGCCUCCUGCCUUGAUCCUUUGACUGGGAAAAUACUGGAGUCAGAAGCCGCAGGAGAAAAACUGAAGGAGUAAAAGCUGUCUGGGCGGGGUGGUCUUUAAUGUCCUCCCUAUCUGCCUUGGUAUCCAGCUAAAGGAGAUGGGAAGGCAUCCCGAGAAGGGCCAGCCGUGACCCUGCCUGUACAAACCGGGGCAGAACAACUGACGAAGGCAUGCCUACGGCGUCUGAGGAACACACAAAAGCAAAUUGAAAAUACCCCACACACUGAUGCAUCUGGGUUUUUUGCUACACUUUCCCCUAGAGACCUGAAGGCGUUUUUCACAGUGAAACCAGCCCCCUUCCCCCGGGCCCGCUCAGGUAUUCCAUGGGUGACCACAGUUUGAGGUCAGGAGGAAGAAAGCCUGACCUUCAGAUCGUGCUGAGAGGGCCGGUCCUCUCUGAAUAUGCAUCCCACGAGAGCCAUGAGGACUGGUUAUUUCACCUCUAGUUCCCUUCGCCCACACCCCACCGCACCCCACUUCUGUGUGCCACAGGUGACCCGUCCUGGACGAGCAGGAUUUGAGACUCAGGUACACCCUGGAGGCUUGGCCGUCUUGAGAAUAAACUCAGCAAGACUCCUUGUUCCGCUGAUUAACAUUUGGGUCCUGGUUUGAUGAGAAAACUAAAAGCAACUGUGAGUGAACUCUGAAGUCACACCGAGAUGAGCUCGUCAAAUUCAGAGACAGACAGCAGAAGGUGAUUGUCAGGGGCUAUGGCUUGGGAGUCAACGUUUAAGGAAUAUAGAAUUUCACUUAGAGAGGAAAAAAAUACCCUGGAGCUGACUGUGGCAUGACAGUGUCACAGAACUGUCACUAAACAUGGUUGAACGAGUUAGUGUGGUAAUGCAUGCCUGUACUCCCAGAAUUCAAGAAGCUGAGGCCAGGGAAGCUAAAGGCUUUAUUCAGGUUUUCCUCAGUAUCCAUUUUCAUACUUUGUUUUUCAUUGUCUGAGGCCAGCCUGGAAAAAAAAAGAAAUAUAUAUAUAUAUAUCUCCAAAAUUAAAAAAUAGUUACCAAGUUGACUGACAGCCCCGAGAUGCCUGAGCCUUUAAGCAGACAAGUAAACGUGCCGUGCUCACUGGCCUGGUGGCACCCGCCUGUGCCCAGCGCCCCGCAGGCUUCUGCUGAGGUUCAGGUGGGUGGUGUUCCAUUGCCUUUGGCUUUUAAGUCACAUUCCUACCUGAGUCUUUCUCCAAGAUAGUGUCAUAAUCAGCGAGAAUGAGCAUUAUCUCGAGCUUUGUGCUAUGGGAGAGGUCUUUGUACUUUGAACGGAACUGGGGCAGAGGCAAUCUGGUAUUUUAGAGAGAUAUUGCUGUUCCCUUUCCCAGCCAGGUUCGGGUUUGGCAACUCACAGCCACUGUGUCUCAAUCCCAGAUCAGCUCAGAUCAACCCAGUCUCACUUUCGAAACAGCCUGGCAAAGAGCCGAGGUGCCCAUGACCGAGUCACCCAGCACAGCCUCCGCCAGGGAGAGGCCUUGGGUUUGCCCAGCACGGUCCCCUGCCCCCAGCGGGAAGCGUGGUCACUGAGGGACUCAGAUUGGACUCCCAAUCAGAAUAUUGACCAGGAAGCCUAGCUAAAGAGCUCCUAACCUGGCUCGAGCCAUAUCUAAAACUUCUGUAUUUCAAUGGUAGCUUGUUUCAGAGGCAAGGCUCGUGGAGGAGGAUUGAAAAGUGGAUGGGCCGCUCUGUUGGUUUUUCUUCCUGUGCAAAAGCUUUUCAAUAGGAUGAGAUCCCAGUUGAUUCUUUGUGAUAGUUUCUGUGCAGUCUGGUUUUGUUCAUAAAGUCUUUGCCUACACCAGUGUCUUCAAGAGUUUUACCUACCCUAUCUUCCAGUAGAUUUAAUGUUUCUAUUUUAAUAUUAAGAUCUUUGAUUAAUUCUGAUUUUAGCUUAGUACAUAGUGGAAGACAUGAGUACAGCUUUAAUUUUCAGCAUGUGUAGACUCAGCUUUUCCAGCACCACUUAUUAAAGAGGCAAUCUUUCUUUCUGUAAAUAUGUUUGGCACCUUUGUCAACGAUCAGGUGGCUUAGCAUGUCUGGAGUCGUUUCUGCAUUUCUAAUCUUUCCAUUGAUCUAUGGGGGCUUUUUGUUUUGGGUUUUUGUUGUUGUUGUUGCUUUUAGUUCUGCGCUGUUUUUAUCACAGUAGCUUUAGUCAGGGAUUAUGAUGCUCUCUGCCUUAAAAUCAUUGUUGCCCAGGAUUGCUAGGUUUCUUCUGGUUCCAGAUGAAUUUUAGGAAUUUUUAUUGGGAUUGCCUUGAAUCUGUGUAAUAGUUUCAAAAGUAUGGCCAUUUUCACUAUGGUGGGUCUUCCUAUCAAAGAGCAUUGGAUAUCUCUCCAUUUUCUAGUAUCCUCUUACAUCUCCUUUUUCAAGUGCUGUAGUUUCCAAUAUAGAGGUCUUUUACAUCCUUUGUUUGAUUCCUAGAUUUUUUUUUUUUGGUGCUAUUGUGUAAUGUGUUAUUACCCUGAUUUCUCUCUCAGUGAAUUUGUUAUUCAUGAACAAGAAGGCUAUUGAUUUCUGAGUGUUGACUUUGUGUCUUCUGGAUUGACUUUUUGAGUGUUCUUUCCUACUUUUAUUUUUUCCUUUUUCAUUUUUAUCGGUACCGGGGAUCGAACUCAUGACUGCCUGCUUGCAAGGCAGGUGCUUAUGCUGCUGAGCUAAAUCCCCAGUUGACUGCAUUUGGUUAUUAAAUCUAGUACUCUUUUGGUGAAGUUUUUGGGGCCUUUUAAGUAGAAUAUCAUGUCACCUGAAAAUAACGAUAGUUUAACUUCUUCCUUUCCUAUCUUUAUUCCUAUUAUUUGUUUCUCUUGUCUAAUCGCUCUAGCUAAAGUUUUCAGGACUCUGUUGAAUAAGAGUGGAGACAGUGGACAUCCUUGUCUUGUUCCGGGUUUUAGAGAGAUAGUUUUCAGGUUUUGUCCACUUAGUAGGAUGUUGGCUAUUGAUUUGUCAUAGAUGGCUUUUAUCAGAUUGAGAUAAAGACCAUCUAUUCCAGUUUUCUGUAGGUUUUUUUUUUUUUUUUUUUUUUUUUUUUUUUUUUUUUUACCACGAAUGGGUGCUGGACUUGGUCAAAAGCUUUUCCUGCAUCUAUUGAGAUGAUCAUAUGAUUUUUGUCCUUGGCUCUGUUAAUAUGGUGUAUUACAUGUAUGGAUAUAUGUAUGUUGUGCCAUCCAUCCCUGCAUCGCUGGGAUGAAUCCCACUUGAUUGUGGUGUAUAACGUUCUUGAUGAUUUGCUGCAGUCUGUAUACCAGUAUUAAGGAUUUUUGCAUCUACGUUUAUUAGGGAAAUUGGUCUGUAAUUCUCUUUCUUAGUUGGAUCCUUCUCUGGUUUGAGUAUCAGGGUAAUGCUUGCUUCUAGAAAAAAAAAAUUGGGAGUAUUCCUUCCCUUUCAGUUUCAUUGAAGAGUUUGAGAAGUAGUGGUGUAAGAUCUCCUCUAAAUUUCCUUUAAAAUUCAGCAGUGAAUCCAUCAGGAGUGUUAGCUUUUCUUUGUUGAUUGGGAUUUUUUUUGUGUUUUGAUUUUUGUUUUUGUUUUUGGUACUAGGGAUCAAACUCACAACCUUGUGCAGGCCAGGCAGGCACUUGUGCUGCUAAGCUAAAUCCCUAGCCCUACUGAUAGGUUUUAAUGACAUCUUUGAUUUCCUUGAUUGAUAUUGGUUUAUUUAGGACUGUUAUAUCUUCCUGAUUCAGCUUUGGUAAUUCAUAUGUAUCUAGUAAUCUGUCCAUUUUUUUCUGUAUUUUCCAACUUAUUAGAAUAUAAGUUUUCUGGGGCUGGGGAUUUAGCUCAGCGGCAUAAGCACCUGCCUUGCAAGCAGGUGGUCAUGAGUUCGAUCCCCGGUACCGAUAAAAAUAGAAAAAAAAAAAAAAACCAAAACCAAAACAAAACAAAAGAAUGUAAGUUUUCAAAGAAGGUAUAGAUGAUCUUCUGGAUUUCUACAGGGUCUCUUAUGAUUUCAUUCCUAUUACAUGAAUUUGAGUCUUUUCUUUCCUUUUUUUGAUAAAGUUGGAUAAGGAUUUGUCAAUUUUAUUUAAUCUUUCAAAGAAGCAACUCUUCAAUUCUUUGAUUCUUUGUAUUGUUUUUUAGUCUACAGCACAUUAAUUUCUGCUCUGAUCUUUAUACUUUAUUCCCUCCUAUUAGCUUUUGACUAAUCCUGCUCUUCUUAUUCUAGAAGUUUGAGGUUCACCAUUAAGUUGUUUAUAUGUGCCUGCUCUGUUUUCUUGAAAUGAGUAUUUACCGCUAUAAAUUUCCCUCUUAGGACUGCUUUCAUUGUGUCCCACAAGUUCCAGUAUGUUGUCAUUCACUCAACUGUAAAAACUAUUUAAUUUCUUCGUUAAUUUCCGCUGCGAUCCACUGAUUGUUCAGUAGGGUGCUGUUUAAUUUCCGUGUAUUUAUGAAGUUCUUGUGGUUUCCUCUGCCAUGGAUUUCCAGUUUCAUUGCACUGUGGUCUGAUAGUAUGCGUGGGAUAAUUUCAGUUCCUUUGCAUUUCCUUAAGCAUUUUCUUUUUCUUUUUUUUUUUGUCUUUUUCCUUUUUAUCGGUACCGGGGUCAAACUCACGACUGCCUGCUUGCAAGGCAGGCGCUUAUGCCGCUGAGCUAAAUCCCCAGCCCCAUCCUUAAGUAUUUUCUAUGUUUAUUUUGGAGAAUGUUCCAUGUGCAGCUGAGAAAAAUGUGUAUUUUGAUGGUUGUAGAUUUUUUUGAUCAUGGAUAAUUGUAAUAUGCCCCAUUUAUCUGUAUGUCAAGUUCUUUUUCUCUAUCAAGAAAUAUUCUGCCAUCAUCUCUGUGAACAUGUUUUAUAUUUGUGGUGUCUCCAGCUUUCUCAUUGACUCCAAUCUAUCUAAAGUUGAUCUUCUUUGUCUCAUCUAGCAGUUGCUGGAUUGAUUUCUCAUGGCCUCUUGCUAUUUUUGAGUAAUCUUUGUUUUCCUUGUUGCUAACUGCAAGUCUGUCUUCAAUAUCCGAGAUCCUGUCCUCACAUUGGCCUAAUCUGUUUUAAAUACUUUCAGUGGAGUUUUUUUGGGAAAGGGUACCAGGAAUCAAACUCAUGAUCUUGUGUCUGCUAGGCAGGCACUUAUGCCAUUGAGCUAUGUCCCCAGCCCUCCUUCAUGGAGUUUUUACUCUCCCGGAUAUCUGCUUGAAUCUGCUUUAUGGAUUCCGUUUCUUUCCUAUGCUGAGCUUCUGUGAUUUUCUUAAGCUUGUCUAUUUUCUUGUGCCUGCCCUACAGUCGCUAAGCGUGGUGUGUGUUUUGGUAAUCCCUGUAGUUAUCUGAGAGAUGAUUUCUGAUUUCAUUUUUUCCAGAGCCUCUUUCAACUGCUUUGUUGGUCCCACUUCAGAGAGGCCCGGUGGGGGCCUUCAGAUGGCCCCGCCUCAUUGGCCUGGAUUUGCCUUUGGUGAACUGGAUGUCUGGGGUUGGUGUCUUGCUUGUGUGCCUUUUCAUCUUCUUUUCUAGGUUUGAUUCCUGGGGGAUGCUUGUAAGUUGCCUGUGGUGGGCUGCUUUAUUGGUGUAUUUAGGCCCCCAGGUGAUGACCUCUCUGAGGUGUCUUCCAGGUGUGGCUGGUUUUUGGGUUUUGAGUCUUUUGGAAGAUCUUAUACUUCAGUUUGUCGGGGAUGAGAGUUGUUGCUUGUUUGGCCCUGGUUCUCUGACAGUGUGCCACAGUAUUUUCUGUGAGCCUUGUUAUGCUCUAUGCUUAUCGCCCUAGUAACCAUGUACCUGGAGCACCGACCACAUUGUUAUAAAUAUAGUGUUAUAAAUUAACUGACCUUGUCAUCAUGCUGUUUUGUAUGUGUCACCCCCCCCACCCCAGUAACCUGUUUGCUGUGUCAACCUUUGUUCUCCUUGUAAGAGACAAAUGAUACUGUGUCAACCUUUGUUCCCUUUGUGAGAGACAAAUGUUCCUGGAAUUGGCAGACCAAGGGCUAUGAAUUGGCUAACCACCCACUGUGAAAUGCCUCUGACCUCAAGCAAAGGGGAACAGAGGCCCACCUUGUUUCUGUUUCUCAUCACUAUGUACUUAAUGAUCAAUGAGCUAAUCAUAAAUGAACUAUAAAAGUCAGUCAAAAUUCUGAUUCAGUUGCACAGCUUGCAAAUUCCAUCUGCACCGUGUCGCUGGGCCAGCUAAAAUAAAAGCGCUUCUUGUAAAAAAGAUGUCAUCUUGCCCCGUUUAUUAUCUCGGGGGUCUUGCCCCGUUUUUCAUCAUGUGGCCUUGUUUUUGGGGGGAUUACAACAACCCUUAGUCAGUUCAGUCAUGGAAUACCGGACAAAUAGCUGUUUAGAACAAUUAUGUCACUUUUGUCUAGAGUGGGGCCAAUAGCCUCAAAUACAACCUAGAAAUCAACAAACUGAUCUAGCCCUUAAUUUGCCACUUUUAACCGUAUGAACUAGAUUUGUGAUUAUUUAACAAAAUAUAAAACACAAAAGAGAAUGAUGUGCAGUAUAUAAGUCCUUAAUGUGUCAAUUCCCCCUUGGUGAUUAAAAUUUAAAAUGGAUUAAGGAGGAAAAUAGAGAAGUGGAAGAAGAGAAAGAGAUUAGAAGUAUGGUUGGAGGACAAAGGGGGAUCCCGCCAGCUUGGGGGAACCGGUGCAGAAGACUGAAGGAAAAGAGGGCCCCGCGGCUCCCUCCUCCGCCCCCUCUCUCUGCAGAGCCUCCAGGGUCACCAUGACCACGUGCCGCAGUUUCCAACAGCUCCUCUCACGGAGCCCGGCUCAGGGAAGGCGCGCCGGCUCCUCCUCCUCGUCCUCUCAAGUGUGUCUCUGCUCUCUCUGUGGGCUUCAGUUUGCACUUCGGGUUCUUCCCGGGCCCGCGGGCCCACGUCCCCCUUGUCUUCCUCACCGUGCCGUACCCCAGCGCCUGGCCAGCAGCUCUCCAGGAGGCUGCUUCCUCUGCUGCUUCCUGCUCUGCCAUUUUUGUCUGCACCCUUAUUUUUUCAGCCUUAGUUGUAGCUGCCUUUCUCCUUUUCUUUUUUUUGCAACAGAGAGAGGGUCUCACUGUAGUUCACUGACCUUGAACAACUCACGGGCAGCAUAGUCCGGCCUUGAACGCAGGCUGUCUCUCGGCCUCAGGCUCCCGAGUGCCGGGAUUACAGGUGUGCACCACCAUGCCCAGAAGUUGUGCCUGUUCACUGUAUUUGUCUGCUGUAGUUUGGACAUCGUGGCCUCCACGGCCCGCGCGUUGCAGGCUUGGUCUCCAGGAUGG